rnacentral:rRNA from 1 species
UACGGAGGGUCCAAGCGUUAUCCGGAAUCAUUGGGUUUAAAGGGUCCGUAGGCGGUUUUGUAAGUCAGUGGUGAAAGCCCAUCGCUCAACGGUGGAACGGCCAUUGAUACUGCAAGACUUGAAUUAUUGGGAAGUAACUAGAAUAUGUAGUGUAGCGGUGAAAUGCUUAGAGAUUACAUGGAAUACCAAUUGCGAAGGCAGGUUACCACCAAUAUAUUGACGCUGAUGGACGAAAGCGUGGGGAGCGAACAGG